rnacentral:tmRNA from 1 species
GGGGGCGAAAGGGCUCGACGGGGGUCACGAGGAUCAGGUUGCAUGUCGUGGUUCCGUCACCACGGAAAAAGGCGGAAAAAAACACAAACGCCAAUAACGAACUGGCACUCGCCGCUUAAUUAACUAAGCGGCACGCUGCCCUGAAGUAGCCUGUGCUUCAGGUCACAGCGUCAUACAGCAGGCUGGCCCUGGGGAAAUUCUCCUGACAUCGGGGCGAGACACAAGGGGAUGGGAUUCCGGGACGCCUGCCUGACGGCAGCCCGGAAUUCGAGAUGAAAUAGUCAGGAUACACAUGUAGAAGCCUGAGAGUAGUACUUUCGGACGCGGGUUCAAUUCCCGCCGCCUCCACCA